rnacentral:rRNA from 1 species
GGGAUAUUGCACAAUGGGGGAAACCCUGAUGCAGCGACGCCGCGUGAGUGAAGAAGUAUUUCGGGAUGUAAAGCUCUAUCAGCAGGGAAGAAGAAAGACGGUACCUGAGUAAGAAGCCCCGGCUAACUACGUGCCAGCAGCCGCGGUAAUACGUAGGGGGCAAGCGUUCUCCGGAUUUACUGGGUGUAAAGGGAGCGUAGACGGUAUGGCAAGUCUGAAGUGAAAGCCCCGGGCUCAACCUGGGAACUGCUUUGGAAACUGUUAGACUAGAGUGCUGGGGAGGCAGGCGGAAUUCCUAGUGUAGCGGUGAAAUGCGUAGAUAUUAGGAGGAACACCAGUGGCGAAGGCGGCCUGCUGGACAGUAACUGACGUUGAGGCUCGAAAGCGUGGGGAGCAAAC